CAGUCGCCGCGGUAAUACGAAGGGGGCUAGCGUUGUUCGGAAUUACUGGGCGUAAAGCGCACGUAGGCGGAUAUUUAAGUCAGGGGUGAAAUCCCGCAGCUCAACUGCGGAACUGCCUUUGAUACUGGGUAUCUUGAGUAUGGAAGAGGUUAGUGGAAUUGCGAGUGUAGAGGUGAAAUUCGUAGAUAUUCGCAGGAACACCAGUGGCGAAGGCGGCUAACUGGUCCAUAACUGACGCUGAGGUGCGAAAGCGUGGGGAGCAAACAGGAUUAGAUACCCCCGUAGUCCCUGUCUCUUAUAC
rnacentral:rRNA from 1 species